UACGAGGGGGGCGAGCGUUGUUCGGAAUUAUUGGGCGUAAAGGGUGCGUAGGCGGUUUGGUAAGUCUUGUGUGAAAUCUACAGGCUCAACUUGUAGUCUGCACGAGAAACUGCCGGGCUUGAGUGUGGGAGAGGUGAGUGGAAUUUCCGGUGUAGCGGCGAAAUGCGUAGAUAUCGGAAGGAACACCUGUGGCGAAAGCGGCUCACUGGACCACAACUGACGCUGAUGCACGAAAGCUAGGGGAGCAAACGGG
rnacentral:rRNA from 1 species